rnacentral:rRNA from 1 species
AAGGGCACCACAAGAACGCGUGGAGCAUGUGGCUUAAUUUGACUCAACGCGGGAAAUCUUACCGGGUCCGGACGCACUGAGGAUUGACAGGAGUUUAACUUUUUUAUUUUAAUUUAAUUUUUUUUAUUUCUAUUAUAUUAAAGUUAUCAAAUAUGCUAGUCCUUUCAUGAUUGUGUGAUAGGUGGUGCAUGGCCGUUCUUAGUUCGUGGAGUGAUCUGUCUGCUUAAUUGCGUUUCAUUAGAGCUCUUGUUUUAACUAAUUAUUACGCACUUUUACUUAUGAGUUAAUUAAAUUUAUCCAUUUGUAUUAGAUUUUUGUGUGAUUAUGUUAGUUUAGGGGGCCGGAAGGCAACGAACGUGACCGCAGCCUCUUGUUGCCUCUUUUAUAAUUAUAUAAUAUAUUUAUUUUCUUUUAAAUGAAUAUUUAUCAUAAUUUUUUUUUUAUUAUUUUUAUAAAAUUAUUCACAGAGGAUAACUAGAGGGACCGCUAGAAAUAUUGUUAAAACAGAGGAAGGUUGCGGCAAUAACAGGUCUGUGAUGCCCUUAGAUGUUCCGGGCUGCACACGUGCUACAAUGACCGUUUAAGUUAGCAUCUUAUUUUAUAUAACAGCAUCAUUUCUUGUACAACGAAUUUAUUUUAUAUUAAUUUAUUUAAUUUUUUCUAGAGAAAUAUGCGUUACAACCUACUUCGAAAGCCCAGUAGGUAAUCAAUUCGAAGUAACGAUUUCCUCCUUUUUAUUUAUAUAUUUUUUUAUAUAUCUAAAAUUGACGCACAUAUUUAUGUCGGUGUUUUCAAUAUUUAUUACAAUUUAAGAAUAUUUAUAUUUUAUAUAUUUAUUUGGUAAUACAUUAUUGGCACUUUUGACAUGUGCUCCAUUAUUUAUUUUAUGACAAUUCGUGGUGGGGACAGACCAUUGAUAAUUGUUGGUCUCGGUCUCAACUAGGAAUGCCUUGUACUGGUCUUUGGUUCAACAAACCACCAGGAAUAUGUCCCUGCCCUUUGUACACACCGCCCGUCGCUCUUACCGAUGGGCUACUCUGUGAGUUUGAGGGACUGGAUUGAAUUAUAUUUUAUUUUAUUAUAAUUUAUCAUACGAUCUAUGGAAACUUAAACGAACAGUGUGGUCUAAAGGAAAGAGAAGUCGUAACAAGGCAUCGGUAGGUGAACCU